CCAAAAAUUUACGCAAUAUGUGACGUCAGCGGGAACGAGACUCGGGUAAAAAGUGAAUGACAGAGCAUGACAAAAACAUCCCUACACGGAUAUGGAGUUGGUACUAUUUGGAUGGAGGUGUGAACAUGAUGACAUGCCUGUUGGCUGUAUAAAAGUCAAAAGAAGAGAAGAAAAGAUCCUUCCAUAUUUUUCCAGAGUGUCUUUCCGCCAUUAAUAGCAGAGAACCUUAAGUUUGCACAUGCAGAUUUGCAAAGACUCUUUGGAAAAGAUUUUAACAGCAUGACAACCAACAACAUUCCGGAAGAAUUCAUGGAUACAGUGAUUGAUGAAGAAACAAGCCUUUUCGAGAAGUGGAAGAAGAAGAAAUUUGAAUUAUGUUCUUAUCUAAAUAAAGAAGAUUUUCCUAAGAAGAUUAUUGUCAU